rnacentral:tRNA from 2 species
GGAUGGGUAGCUCAAUCGGGUAGAGCGUUGAAUGGGUUAACACCCAUAGUCCUUGGUUCACAACCUUGCCUGAAAAGGCCGACGAGUUGAGGGUUAUCGUCAAUUCAAAAGUUGCAGGUUCAAUUCCUGCCCCAUCCGCCA